rnacentral:rRNA from 1 species
UACAGAGGGUGCGAGCGUUAAUCGGAAUUACUGGGCGUAAAGCGCGCGUAGGCGGCUUUGCAAGUCGGGUGUGAAAUCCCCAGGCCUAACCUGGGAACUGCAUUCGAGACUGCAUGGCUAGAGUAUCGGAGAGGGAAGUGGAAUUUCAGGUGUAGCGGUGAAAUGCGUAGAUAUCAGGAGGAACACCAGUGGCGAAGGCGGUGCUCUGGGCCGGAACUGACGCUGAUGAGCGAAAGCGUGGGGAGCAAACAGG